rnacentral:rRNA from 1 species
UAUUGCACAAUGGGCGCAAGCCUGAUGCAGCGACGCCGCGUGUGGGAUGACGGCCUUCGGGUUGAAAACCUCUUUCAGCAGGGAAUAAGCGAAAGUUACGGUACCUGCAGAAUAAGCACCGGCUAACUACGUGCCAGCAGCCGCGGUAAUACGUAGGGUGCAAGCGGUGUCCGGAAAUCAUGGGCGUAAAGAGCUGGUAGGCGGUUUGUCGCCUCUGCUGUGAAAUCCCGAGGCUCAACCCCGGGCCUACAGUGGGUACGGGCAGACUAGAGUGUGGUAGGGGAGACUGGAAUUCCUGGUGUAGCGGUGGAAUGCGCAGAUAUCAGGAGGAACACCGAUGGCGAAGGCAGGUCUCUGGGCCACUACUGACGCUGAGGAGCGAAAGCAUGGGGAGCGAACAGG